CCCAACUCUGUGCCGGAGUUCCUCGUUCUUAUCAUGGAGUCAGGACAAAACCAGACCGCUACACCUCCUCAUCCUCGACUGAAAGCUUCGGUUUUAAAAGAAAACAAGACGGGCGGAGUCAAUUUGAUUCAAAUUCCAAUUCAUGAAUUGGAUGGAGGCCAAUUCUGAAAUUCUGAAUUGUGCACAAGCCUGCCACAGAGGACGGUGAACUGCAACACAUAACAGAUCGGUAGAUUGAAGAUGUGGAGAACAGUGCUAGUGAUUCUCAUUGCGGCAUCAGUUUCUUAUAGCGAUCAAAUUGAACCAACUGAAGCAGUUCUUGUCAAAAGUGAUAAUGACCGUGUUACUUUGACUUGCACUUAUGAAACAACCAGUGAAUUUGUUCAUCUUAUCUGGUACAGACAAUAUCCCAACAGUGAACCUCAGUAUUUACUGUGGAAAGGUGCCCGAUCAAGAGAUGGCAGUCAGCGCAUAGGAGAUUCUCAUUUUGACUCCUCUACAUCCAGAACAUCCACAGAACUGAUCAUUAAAAAGACUGCUCUAAAAGAUUCAGCUCUUUAUUACUGUACAAUUUGGAUAGACACAGUGAUACAAAGUGUGUAAGAAGCUGUACAAAAACUCACACAAACUAUUCACUUUAAUCUCAAAAACAUCAAAGUAUCACCAAAAUCCUAUUAUCUCGCAAAACCAUACAUUAGUGUAUAGGAAACACCUGCAAGUACAGUCACCAAAAGCAAACCUUUUAUUUAAUGAAGCAGAGUUUCCCCUAAAUGAAGUGUGAUGUGUAAAUUAAAAAUAUUUUAAAAUAUCGAUAAUAUAACAUUUCCAGAAACCCGUAUUGAUAUGAUUGUCUAUUAUACAGAUAUUGUCAGGGUUGUGGACAGGUUGUGGACAGGUUGUUUGACCGAUACGCAAGGUCAUGAGUCUCCACACAGAACAUAGGACUGUCAGAACCCUGCCAUCAUGACCAGAUAUAAAUAUUAAACAAGACUUUUGGCAGGAUCCUGACAGAUAUAGAUACAGAAUAAUAUAACCCGUAUUCAAACUUUAAAAUAAUGUGACACAUUGUGCAUAAUAUUUUUAGAUACAGAUACUGUUAUGGACCAAGAACGGACUCCAAUGCAGGAGAGUACAGUUCACAAAUUUAUUGACACUCCUUAAAGGGGACAUAUUAUGAAAAUCUGACUUUUUCCAUGUUUAAGUGCUAUAAUUGUGUCCCCAGUGCUUCUAUCAACCUAGAAAAUGUGAA